GGUUUCGUGGUGUAGUUGGUUAUCACGUCAGUCUAACAGCCUCCGAGUUGCGCACUGAAGGUCCUGAGUUCAAACCUCGGCGAAAUCA